rnacentral:sRNA from 1 species
AUGUAUUGAAUUUUUGUUAGAAGAUACAAAGACAAAGACUCAUACGGACUUCGACUACACUAUCAAAGCUUUGAGAAGCAAGAAGAAGCUUGGUUAGUGUUUUGGAUUCGAAUAUGACUUGAUGUCAUGUGUAUGACUCAAUAUAAAAAC